rnacentral:rRNA from 1 species
UGAGUGCGAGCUUCUACGGAAGCGAAGUUGGUGACGUCAAGCUUCCAAGAAAAGCCCUAUACCCGUUAAGGCAUGAUUACCUGUACCCGGAACCGACACAGGUGGGGUGGUAGAGAAUACCGAGGGGCGCGAGGUAACUCUCUCUAAGGAACUCGGCAAAAUGACCCCGUAACUUCGGGAGAAGGGGUGCCAGCGCGAGCUGGUCGCAGUGAAUAGGCCCAGGCGACUGUUUACCAAAAACACAGGUCUCCGCUAAGUCGCAAGACGAUGUAUGGGGGCUGACGCCUGCCCAGUGCCGGAAGGUUAAAGAAGUUGGUCAGCGCAAGCGAAGCUAACGACUGAAGCCCCGGUGAACGGCGGCCGUAACAAUAACGGUCCUAAGGUAGCGAAAUUCCUUGUCGGGUAAGUUCCGACCCGCACGAAAGGCGUAACGAUCUGGGCGCUGUCUCGGAGAGAGGCUCGGCGAAAUAGAAUUGUCUGUGAAGAUGCGGACUACGUGCACCCGGACAGAAAGACCCUAUGAAGCUUUACUGUAGCUUGGUAUUGUGCUCGGGCUCGCAAUGCGCAGGAUAGGUGGGAGGCUUUGAUCCAUUGCUUGUGGGUGAUGGUGAGCCACUGGUGAGAUACCACUCUUUGCGAGCUAGGGUUCUAACGGUUACCCGUCAUCCGGGAACCGGACAGUAUCUGGUGGGCAGUUUGACUGGGGCGGUCGCCUCCUAAAAGGUAACGGAGGCGCGCAAAGGUUUGCUCAGGCUGGUUGGAAAUCAGCCGACGAGUGUAAAAGCAGAAGCAAGCUUGACUGUGAGACCUACAAGUCGAACAGGGAGGAAACUCGGCUUUAGUGAUCCGACGGUUCUGAGUCGAAGGGCCGUCGCUCAACGGAUAAAAGUUACUCUAGGAUAACAGGCUGAUCUCCCCCAAGAGUUCACAUCGACGGGGAGGUUUGGCACCUUGAUGUCGGCUCAUCGCAACCUGGGGCUGAAGUCGGUCCCAAGGGUUGGGCUGUUCGCCCAUUAAAGCGGUACGCGAGCUGGGUUCAGAACGUCGUGAGACAGUUCGGUCCAUAUCCGGUGCAUGCGCAGGAAUAUUGAGAGGAUUUCUCCCUAGUACGAGAGGACCGGGAGGAACGCACCUCUGGUGUACCAGUUAUCGUGCCAACGGUAAACGCUGGGUAGCCAUGUGCGGAGUGGAUAACCGCUGAAAGCAUCUAAGUGGGAAGCCACCUCAAGAUGAGUAUUCCCAUGGCUUAAGCCAGUAAGGUCACGGGAAGAACACCCGUUGAUAGGCUCUAUGUGGAAGCGCAGUAAUGCGUGAAGCAGAGGAGUACUAAUAGACCGAGGGCUUGAC